rnacentral:rRNA from 1 species
UACGAAGGGGGCUAGCGUUGUUCGGAAUUACUAGGCGUAAAGCGCACGUAGGCGGAAUGUUAAGUCAGGGGUGAAAUCCCGGGGCUCAACCCCGGAACUGCCUUUGAUACUGGCAUUCUCGAGUCCGGAAGAGGUGAGUGGAAUUCCGAGUGUAGAGGUGAAAUUCGUAGAUAUUCGGAGGAACACCAGUGGCGAAGGCGGCUCACUGGUCCGGUACUGACGCUGAGGUGCGAAAGCGUGGGGAGCAAACAGG